rnacentral:rRNA from 1 species
AUUGAACGCUGGCGGCAGGCCUAACACAUGCAAGUCGAGCGGAGUGGCGUACGGGGGAGUAAUGCCAAGGCCUUUGCCUGGAAGUGGGGGAGAACGUCGGGAACCGGGCGCUAAUCUCGCAUACUAUCAGAUGAGCAUAGAUCGGAUUAGCUAGUUGGUGGGGUAAAGGCCUACAAAGUCGACGAUCCGUAACUGGUCUGAGAGGAUGAUCAGUCACUCUGGAAAUGAGACACGGUCCAGACCACUACGGUGGACAGCCGUGGGGAAUAUUGGACCAUGGGCGAACGCCUGAUCCGGCCAUGCCGCGUGUGUGAAGAAGGUCUUCGGGUUGUAAAGCACUUUGAGUUGGGAAGCGUUACCUACCGAAUAAGCACCGGCUAACUUCGUGCCAGCAACCGCGAUAAUUC